rnacentral:lncRNA from 1 species
ACGUGCUUCACUCAUUUUAAAGUUAUAAGCACGAACACAGUAUAUCUCUUCGUAUUUGCUUCAAUUAUUGAGCAUUGCUUAAUUAUAGUACAAGUGGAAUUGUAAUGUAAAUUUGAAAGACAAGGAAAAGGAAAAGGAAGUUUCGAGACGACCUUUCUAGUAAUUUAACUAAAUUAGAGCGAAGCAGUUCAUAAUUUACGCAGAAGAAUUUCAGAUACUUCAGUUUUCAGACCAGUGUCUGCUGUCUUCAAACGCUCAGUUCAACUUGUUGUAUGGGAGUUAACGAAAGUCGUGCUGUGAUCUUGGCAUUUUCUACUAAAAUAACGUCAUAGGGUCUGGAAAUAUACAUAAAGAUAAAAAUUACGUCGGAAAAAAUAUACGGAUAAUAAUUUGGUCGGGAUAAUGUAAAGAUGAAUGUAAGUUCGAGAAAGUUUUUUUAUGGAAAGCUAGAAUGUGGAUGUAUAUCUACGACUUGCUGAAGGAUUUUAAGUAACAGUUAUUUAAAAUGAUAUGCAUUGACGACUCAGUACUUACAGUGGGAAAAAAGAUAUAUGAACGUGUAUUGAUACAAAAUCUAAUUUUCCUAUUUACCAUUGGGAAAAACUAAAUGGUAUCAGAGAUAUUCCACGUUUAGAAUUAACAGUAAGGCUAGAGUUUACAUUCAACUUAUUUCCAGUCAAAAGGGAAUAAAUAAUCAUGAAACUGCGACAUAUGAAAAAUUUAUUGGUCGUGAUAUUAGUAAUGUGCAUAACAAAAUCAUCUAAUGGCGCACCGUUUUCACCUUACAAGCUCCAAUCCCAGAAAGGGCCAGAAACUUGCGAAUGGGGCUGCGACUCCAAUAUUGAUGAAAAACUUAAAAUGUGUGAAGCAAUUUGUUACAUUGAUACUCAACAAAAUCGGUUCCAACAUUAUUAUGAAACCCAGUGUCAAAGUGUAUGCGCUACAAAGUAUAUUAGCUGCUUGGAGGGAUGCCCCCAAACUUUCAGCAAGAACAAUUCUGUUAUAUGAAUGGGUAUAAGCAAAUUACAUGUGACUGAGACUGCGUUUGGCGAUUAAUUUCAAGACGACUACGUUAUCAUAAGAACACAAAAUGACCCGUGAUUAGUUGUCUACUGGGGAGUAAUCGAUACAUUUUUUUUGCUGUAGAAAGUUUGAAAAUUUGUAUAUGUUAGUGCAUAAUUAUACAAAGCAAAGCGAUGUACUUGUAAAACAAGAUACGGAAAUUAUAUUCACCUCUGAUGGAGUAGCAGCUUUGAGCAAAGUACCUUUCAGCCAAACAGCUAUCAAACAGAAACAACAAGUACCGGUAACCGCAGACAAGAAAGUUCAGACUGAAACAUAAUAUUAAAUAUACUGUGACCAUAGUCCUUGCCAUGAGUACAUUACGAGAACAAUUUUGUUCUACAUAGUGUGUGGGCAACAUCCGUCUUCCUCGAAUUUGAAAAGUGCUGUUAACAAAUUUAUGUAUUGAAAGUAUGUUGUCGAUCAUAAAGUGCUCACCCGCGGAGCAUUUACUCGAAAUGCAUAUUGUGUAUAAUAUACUGACAUCUAAUAUAUCUCAACUUAUGUAUGUCAGUUUGCUAACAAGAGUAUUUAUAAUGAUACCAUUAAGGGAAUCAAGCAAUGAACUAUAACAAUCAUUCAAACAACAGCGUUUUACACGAAUGUAUCAAGGAAACAUUCGUUGUCUUUAUUAUGGAAAAUAUUUGCAAAGAAUAGUUAUGAUUUUUUCUUGCAAUGGUUGAGAGAAUUUUUGAAUUGCUUUUAAAUGUUUUUGACUCGACAUGAGAUCAAAUAAGUGACGCUUUGUGUUCACUAUUGGGUAACAAAUAUAUUAGAUUUGACGUUGAAAUCUACAUACAUGUAAUACACAGUUGACAAGUGUUCGGUAUCCCACUGCACUCCACUCUUUGCUGAUGUAUUUUUUGUAUUGUCAUGAACAUGAUUCCAAGCGUAAAAUGUUUAUUGAAACUUG